rnacentral:rRNA from 1 species
CAGCAGCCGCGGUAAUACGGAGGGUGCAAGCGUUAAUCGGAAUUACUGGGCGUAAAGCGCACGCAGGCGGUUUGUUAAGUCAGAUGUGAAAUCCCCGAGCUUAACUUGGGAACUGCAUUUGAAACUGGGAAGCUAGAGUCUUGUAGAGGGGGGUAGAAUUCCAGGUGUAGCGGUGAAAUGCGUAGAGAUCUGGAGGAAUACCGGUGGCGAAGGCGGCCCCCUGGACAAAGACUGACGCUCAGGUGCGAAAGCGUGGGGAGCAAACAGGAUUAGAUACCCCUGUAGUCCCUGUCUCUUAUAC